UACCAUCACUGACGUGCCAUUUCAGCAUGAUGCUGCUCAUCACAGUUAUCCUGCUCUGUGCUGUUGGGAGUGGAAGGUUUGAGAGCCCUAUUACAUCAGACCAAACUGAGGUCUUUGAUGAGGAGGGUGCCAAUAUAACUUUGUCCUGCAGCUACUCAGCUGCAAUUAGUUUGCACUGGUACCGUCAAUAUCCCAGAUCAGCUCCUGAAUAUCUUUUAUUAAUUCUGCAAACCUCUGGACGGGUCCAGACCGCAGAGAAGCUGGAUUCUCGGUUUUCAGCAAAACUGAAUGAAAAGAAAAACCGUGUGGAUCUAAUCAUCUCCUAUGUCAAAGUGACAGAUUCAGCUUUGUACUACUGUGCCCUGGAGCCCACAAAUGCAGAGGACAAGACACUGUACAUCAGUCAACAAGCUCUUCUUCAGCUUACACAGGAGAGGCUGUUACUCUGA